rnacentral:pre_miRNA from 1 species
AUUGUACUCCCUCUAUUCGAAAUUACUUGUCAUAGAAAUGGAUGUAUCUAUAUGUAUUUUAGUUCUAAAUACAUUCAUUUUCGAGACAAGUAAUUCCAAACGGAGGGAGUACAUG